GUGUGAAAUCCCCGGGCUUAACCUGGGAAUUGCGCUUGUAACUGGCAAGCUAGAGUGUGGCAGAGGGGGGUGGAAUUCCACGUGUAGCAGUGAAAUGCGUAGAUAUGUGGAGGAACACCGAUGGCGAAGGCAGCCCCCUGGGUUAACACUGACGCUCAGGCACGAAAGCGUGGGGAGCAAACAGGAUUAGAUACCCUGGUAGUCCACGCCCUAAACUAUGUCAACUAGUUGUCGGGGAAGAAAUUCCUUGGUAACGAAGCUAACGCGUGAAGUUGACCGCCUGGGGAGUACGGCCGCAAGGUUAAAACUCAAAGGAAUUGACGGGGACCCGCACAAGCGGUGGAUUAUGUGGAUUAAUUCGAUGCAACGCGAAAAACCUUACCUACCCUUGACAUGCUAGGAAGUCCGCAGAGAUGUGGACGUGCCCGAAAGGGAACCUAGACGCAGGUGCUGCAUAGCUGUCGUCAGCUCGUGUCGUGAGAUGUUGGGUUAAGUCCCGCAACGAGCGCAACCCUUGCCAUUAGUUGCGGCAUUUAGUUGAGCACUCUAAUGGGACCGCCGGUGACAAACCGGAGGAAGGUGGGGAUGACGUCAAGUCCUCAUGGCCCUUAUGGGUAGGGCUUCACACGUAAUACAAUGGUCGGUACAGAGGGCUGCCAACCCGCGAGGGGGAGCUAAUCCCAGAAAGCCGAUCGUAGUCCGGAUUGUAGUCUGCAACUCGACUGCAUGAAGCCGG
rnacentral:rRNA from 1 species